GAUCCUGGCUCAGAUUGAACGCUGGCGGCAGGCUUAACACAUGCAAGUCGAACGGUAACAUAAGGAAGCUUGCUUCUUUGAUGACGAGUGGCGGACGGGUGAGUAAUGCUUGGGAAUCUAGCUUAUGGAGGGGGAUAACUACGGGAAACUGUAGCUAAUACCGCGUAAUAUCGAAAGAUUAAAGUGUGGGACCUUCGGGCCACAUGCCAUAGGAUUAGCCACGUAGGNGUAGUAGUGUG
rnacentral:rRNA from 1 species